rnacentral:lncRNA from 1 species
AAUACACAGAUUUGGUGAAGUUUUAAGAGUUGGGAAAAGCAAUAUCCAUUUGUGUUGCAACUCAUUAAUUAAUUCAUACUUUAUUUCAGAUAGAAAAUCCUUCUGGCAGUGACAGUGCCUUCAAGUUCCUCAGUGUUCCAUAGGCAUAGUGUACGGGUAAGAGACUAAUGGAUUUAUCAGUGUUACUGUAAUUUGUUUUUAUAGAAUUUGCUAUGGUAACUCCCCUGCUGUCAGCAGACUGGCAGCCACUCACACGAGCUGUGAUCAGCUCAUUGUAGACAACUGUUAAGAGAUGUGACCCAGAAUGGUUCCUCUCAGAGUUCUUACUGUGAUUUUGUUUUAUUCUCCCCAAUCUAGAAGGGUCUCUGUGGCUGCAUAGGUAUUUCCUGCCUUUCAUGUGGGGAAAUCUGAUGCUUGACAUGGAAUAAACAACAUGCUGUUCAGUGCUGGAAAUGCAGAUGGAUGCAACAAUGCCUUGCCGUCCUUACCUGUGCCAGAAAUAGCAGAAGGCAUUUAAAUUUCCCUCAAAUGGCUUUUUCUUGGCAGAGAAUUAGUUAGCACUAGAAGCACAGAGCAAUACAGUGUGGGGUUCCCAGGGCCAGCUGUAGCUCAGCUUUGUGGCCCAGCUGUGCCUGGGUGGAUCAGCAGAGGCAGAGCCACAGCACCUUUCUCAUGCAGACCUUGAUAAAUGUUAAGCUGACUUGUAGAAGGCUGUGGAUCAAAAUGUCUUGGGUCACAAAAAGACAGAAUGAAAUGCUGUAAGAACUCAGGGUGGAAUGUGAGAAUAACCCACUGAUUUUUUUUUUUCACAGCUCCUAAUUUUCUGUAGUGAAGGCCAUGCUUGAAAUGAAGUACCAGUGUCUGGUGCCUGUUGAACAAAGCAAAUCCUCCACUCCCUAAGUGAGGCUGUUCAGUAACAUUAAUCUGUGUGUGAAUGGUUUGGACAGAGGGGUUACUCUCUCAGGCUGAGACUGUGCCACCAACUGUGCAGUUUCAUUACAGCAUCUGUGUUGCAGUCCUGCCUUGCACUGGUGGCAUGCUGCUUCUGAGUCUCCCCAUGAAUGUUGAGGAGGUCAGGCUGGCUACUAUCCAUCUUCCCUCUUUCAUGUCUGACUAAAACAUUUUGAGUUCAAUGAUCAUAGCAGAAGGCUGCCUUGGCAUGCCAGCCCUGAUCUCCCUUUGUGCUCAGAGGAGGGCAGUAGUUAUAUUGAUGAACAGGUCCCUGGGGUGGUGCUCAGAGGUGGGAGGUUACAGUGCAAGCUCAGACACAACUUGUUUGCAAUCCUUCCUGU